rnacentral:rRNA from 1 species
UGGGGAAUUUUCCGCAAUGGGCGAAAGCCUGACGGAGCAAUACCGCGUGAGGGAGGAAGGCUCUUGGGUCGUAAACCUCUUUUCUCAGGGAAGAACACAAUGACGGUACCUGAGGAAUAAGCAUCGGCUAACUCCGUGCCAGCAGCCGCGGUAAUACGGAGGAUGCAAGCGUUAUCCGGAAUGAUUGGGCGUAAAGCGUCCGCAGGUGGCAAUGUAAGUCUGCUGUUAAAGAGUCUAGCUCAACUAGAUACAAGCAGUGGAAACUACAUAGCUAGAGUACGUUCGGGGCAGAGGGAAUUCCUGGUGUAGCGGUGAAAUGCGUAGAGAUCAGGAAGAACACCGGUGGCGAAGGCGCUCUGCUAGGCCGUAACUGACACUGAGGGACGAAAGCUAGGGGAGCGAAUG